rfam:Pseudomonas rhizosphaerae strain DSM 16299, complete genome.
CGGGUUCAACUCCUGCUUGUUACCGUUUCAUCCAACCGGGGCCGGAUGUCGUUUUGGUGUCUGAUUCGGUAAGGAACCGGGAGCACCAUCUGCGUAGGCUUGAGGUUUAAGACUUGCGUCGCCUACGGUCUUGGAUAGCCCCCGCCAGGCAGGGACCCCAAUUUUUUCAGCUGGUGGAACGGUUCCCCGCCCCA